rnacentral:lncRNA from 1 species
GCUAAUUUUUUGUAAUUUUUUUUUUCAGUAGAGACAAGAUUUCACUGUGUUAGCCAGGAUGGUCUCGAUCUUCUGACCUCAUGAUCCACCCGCCUCGGCCUCCCAAAAUGCUAGGAUUACAGGCAUGAGCCACCGCGCCCGGCCAGUCACCCCUUUCUUAAUGGCACAGGCAGGACAAGGACUUUUUCCAGGGGUAGGGGAUGAAGGCAAGCCACUGUGAAUGCAGACAAUUUCUCCACCAAGGCUGAGGAGCACAGGCAAAAGCAGCUUCUCGAAAGCAGUGAUCAGUCUAGUAUGGGAAUUGCAGGGUGCUGCCCACCUCUCUCGACUGAUAAACCAAGGCAUCAUGCAAUUCUUCUUCAACACUAGGUUUGUAGACAGAUGGCUCCUAGGCCCCUGACCACAGAGAAAAGGGUUCCAUGGAAAUGGGGAAAACAGCCCAAAAAGGGAGGCUGGGGGCACAGGAGACUGGCUGGUUUACCUACAGCACACCAUCUGCAUGAUGAUGUAGACCCCUGAGUACCCCAGGACCAGCCCAGUCUCUCCCCAAAACCUAACAGCAGAGCCUCGGCCCUGAAAUCAGCAUGGUCUCGAGGUGUACAAAGCCCAGAAAGUUUGCUGUCACCUGGUCUCCCCUAACCCUUUCUCUGGCACCAUCAUUCACCCAAACUUCCACUAACAAAAGUCCUGGCGUUGCUCAGCAGGGUUCCCAAGUGCUGUUUCCUAGACUCAAGGCGCUACAUGACCUCACUUGGGGAACAUGGGUGUCCUGGGACUGCGUCAUGUUCACCUGAAAGGAGGCCUAAGGGAGAAAGUCCUGGGCCUCAUUUUUAUUUUCUACUUCCCGCUGCCUUAAAGCCUUUGAGAAGUGAUGAGGGGAGGAAAGGACGAAGGGAGAGAGGGAGGCAGAGACUGGAAGCGAAGGAGAAGUGAAGGGCCGUCGAUUGGCUCAUUCAUUGGUUCUGACCAAAAAAGAGAUAAAUCACUUUUUACCUAUUUUACUAAACCUGUGAGGUUAUCGUGAGCAUCAAAUGAAAUAAAAAUGAAAGGAUUUCUUCAAGUACGGAGCACACGAAUUUAGGCCCCAUCUUAAAAAGAGGCAAAAGUCUCUUAAAUUUAACAGAGACAGUCCUCCCGACCAAAAUUAUUUUUUUCUCGCUUUUUUUUAAAUUUAGCUUUGCCAGAGAGCCUGCGAAUGUUACAGAAGGACUGUGAGGUCAGCCAGCUGCUCCCAUGGAACGCCGAUGACAUGCUGGGAGUGCAGUACUGCACUGCGCACAGCCUCGUGGAUGAGCCGAGAGCCGGCUCUCACAGGAUGGGGUUGGCAACUUUGGCCACGUUCACCUAUGCCUAAGAAAGAGACUGCAAGACACUCCAUGCAUCUGCUUUUACAAAUUAAGACCAAAUAUGGAAGAGACAUCAAAAAGAUUUUCAUCAUCGCCUGCUAAGAGCAGGGGAGAGCAGAGGAAAGAGCGAAUGGAAACUAGAGAGGAAAGAGAAUAGAGGCAGAUCACUGAGGAAGAGGAAAGCUGUGUGGACAC